rnacentral:rRNA from 6 species
AGAGUUUGAUCCUGGCUCAGGACGAACGCUGGCGGCGUGCCUAAUACAUGCAAGUCGAACGAACUCUGGUAUUGAUUGGUGCUUGCAUCAUGAUUUACAUUUGAGUGAGUGGCGAACUGGUGAGUAACACGUGGGAAACCUGCCCAGAAGCGGGGGAUAACACCUGGAAACAGAUGCUAAUACCGCAUAACAACUUGGACCGCAUGGUCCGAGCUUGAAAGAUGGCUUCGGCUAUCACUUUUGGAUGGUCCCGCGGCGUAUUAGCUAGAUGGUGGGGUAACGGCUCACCAUGGCAAUGAUACGUAGCCGACCUGAGAGGGUAAUCGGCCACAUUGGGACUGAGACACGGCCCAAACUCCUACGGGAGGCAGCAGUAGGGAAUCUUCCACAAUGGACGAAAGUCUGAUGGAGCAACGCCGCGUGAGUGAAGAAGGGUUUCGGCUCGUAAAACUCUGUUGUUAAAGAAGAACAUAUCUGAGAGUAACUGUUCAGGUAUUGACGGUAUUUAACCAGAAAGCCACGGCUAACUACGUGCCAGCAGCCGCGGUAAUACGUAGGUGGCAAGCGUUGUCCGGAUUUAUUGGGCGUAAAGCGAGCGCAGGCGGUUUUUUAAGUCUGAUGUGAAAGCCUUCGGCUCAACCGAAGAAGUGCAUCGGAAACUGGGAAACUUGAGUGCAGAAGAGGACAGUGGAACUCCAUGUGUAGCGGUGAAAUGCGUAGAUAUAUGGAAGAACACCAGUGGCGAAGGCGGCUGUCUGGUCUGUAACUGACGCUGAGGCUCGAAAGUAUGGGUAGCAAACAGGAUUAGAUACCCUGGUAGUCCAUACCGUAAACGAUGAAUGCUAAGUGUUGGAGGGUUUCCGCCCUUCAGUGCUGCAGCUAACGCAUUAAGCAUUCCGCCUGGGGAGUACGGCCGCAAGGCUGAAACUCAAAGGAAUUGACGGGGGCCCGCACAAGCGGUGGAGCAUGUGGUUUAAUUCGAAGCUACGCGAAGAACCUUACCAGGUCUUGACAUACUAUGCAAAUCUAAGAGAUUAGACGUUCCCUUCGGGGACAUGGAUACAGGUGGUGCAUGGUUGUCGUCAGCUCGUGUCGUGAGAUGUUGGGUUAAGUCCCGCAACGAGCGCAACCCUUAUUAUCAGUUGCCAGCAUUAAGUUGGGCACUCUGGUGAGACUGCCGGUGACAAACCGGAGGAAGGUGGGGAUGACGUCAAAUCAUCAUGCCCCUUAUGACCUGGGCUACACACGUGCUACAAUGGAUGGUACAACGAGUUGCGAACUCGCGAGAGUAAGCUAAUCUCUUAAAGCCAUUCUCAGUUCGGAUUGUAGGCUGCAACUCGCCUACAUGAAGUCGGAAUCGCUAGUAAUCGCGGAUCAGCAUGCCGCGGUGAAUACGUUCCCGGGCCUUGUACACACCGCCCGUCACACCAUGAGAGUUUGUAACACCCAAAGUCGGUGGGGUAACCUUUUAGGAACCAGCCGCCUAAGGUGGGACAGAUGAUUAGGGUGAAGUCGUAACAAGGUAGCCGUAGGAGAACCUGCGGCUGGAUCACCU